UCAAUCAUUGUGCUUUGCUGAUUGUUUAUCCAAGAUGAGGAGAGUAAGAACCCUUGAUAGUUGGUAUAAGCCUUUUGUUGCUACUGAAAAUCCUAGUGUCAAUAAUGACCAAGCUGCUGAGCUGGACGAAAUGCAAGUUCCGGAACCAAAACAAUAUCAAUCUGCACCUUCUGAAAUUGAACAAGCUAGAGUUUUAACUACAACAUUUGAGAGGGACCCGGGUAAACGCAAACAAAUUUUGAAACUCUUGCCGGCGCAACAAGAUGAAGCUCUACAAUUCUAUAUAUCAGAGGGUCCAUAUCAACCUAUUUUGAAAGAAUAUCCAUUUAAAGGCGCGGAGAUUCAUCGUCGGAGAUUCUGUAGCAAUUGGUUUACUGAUUUCUGGUGGCUAGAGUAUUCACCUCACACUGAUCGUGCAUAUUACUUGCCUUGCUUUCUUUUUUCAAAAAAGCCAGUUGGGAGGUCCGGCUCGGAUACAUUCACUGUGAAGGGGUUCCAAAAUUGGAAAAGAGUAAAUGAUGGAAAAGCAUGUGCUUUUCUAACUCAUAUGGGUAAAGAUACUAGCUCAGCUCAUAAUUAUUCAGUUCAAUGUUAUAACAAUUUCAAAAAUAGAAUGGCUCAUAUUGACCAAAUGGUCAUUAAACGAAAAGAGAAAAUAGUCGCAGAUGCAAGAGUUCGGGUUGUGACUACAAUUGAUGCCCUUAGGUAAUAAGAAUUUUUUUUUAUAUAUCAUUGCAAUUAGAAUUGUGUAUGUAAUUAUGUAUCAUCAAGUAAGAAUUUGCUCAAACUUAGAGACAUCAGUUAUAUCAUUGCAUUGUUUGGAUAUUAUCAGGUGGUUAACUUUUCAACUAUGUCCACUUAGAGACCAUGAAGAAUCUCUAGAUUCAAUAAAUCGGGGCAACUUUCUUGAAAUGCUCAAACUUUUGGCUUCUUACAAUAAGGAUGUGGAUGCUGUUGUGUUGGAAAAUGCUCUAGGAAAUGCUAAGUACACUUCACCUGAAGUUCAGGUUGAACUCCUUGGCAUAUAUGCUCGAAAAGUGCAGAAUACUAUUAGAGAAGAAAUUGGCAACAACAAGUUUUGUAUCAUGGUAGAUGAAACUCGUGAUGAAUCAAAAAAAGAACAAAUGGCAAUAGUUCUUCGGUUUGUCAACAAAGAAGAUCACAUCAAGGAGAGUUUUCUUGACCUUAUUCAUGUUAGUGACACUACCGCAUUGACUCUUAAGAACACAAUUUGUGCUGUCUUGUCAGAUAAUAACCUGAGUGUGCAAGAUAUUAGAGCUCAAGGCUACGAUGGUGCAAGUAACAUGAGAGGGGGGUGGAAUGGAUUCAAGGCUUUAAUUCUUAAAGAGUGCCCUUAUGCAUAUUACAUCCAUUGUAUGGCACAUCAACUUCAAUUAGCUCUAGUUGCAGCAUCAAGAGAGGGAGAGGGGCUAAUCAGAUAGGCUCUCUUCAAAGGCUAGGGGACACUAGAUGGAGUUCUCAUAACAAGUCUAUCCGGAGCUUGAAGAAAAUGUUUGCUGCCACAAUUUCAGUGCUACGCAAUAUUGCUAAUGAUCGUUCAGUUUCAAGGUACGUUGAUGUGACCAAGUCUAGGAACAAGCAUGAUAACACCACAACUCUUCACCACUAUAAAAUAGAUGUGUUUAAUGUGGCGGUUGAUCAACAGCUAGCCGAGUUGGAAGAUCGAUUCAGCUCUCAAGCGACAGAGCUGCUAUCUCUUUGUGCCUCUUUGGAUCCAAGACUUGACACCUUUAAUGUGUCAAAUAUAUCAACCUUAGUAAAAAAAAUACUAUCCUGCUGAUUUUACUAAUCAAGAAAGAGCCCAAUUAGAGUGUCAACUUCCACAUUUUCAACUUGAUGUGUGCAACCAUCCAGAGCUAAGUAUGGUGGCAUCACUUGCUGUUAUGAUAAAAGGACUGGUUAAAUUGGGUAAAAUUUCCAUUUAUCCAUUGGUUGACAGAUUGUUAAGGUUAGUGGUGACUCUUCCAGUUUCAACUGCAACCGUGGAGAGAGUUUUUUCAGCUGUGAGACUUUGCAAGACACGCACACGGAAUAAAAUGGGAGAUGAUUAUACACGAAGUUACACGAUCAUUUAUGUUGAGAAGGAAUUGGCAGCAAAGAUUAGUUCUCUUGGCAUAUUGAAAGCUUUUGAUUUAGGUGGUCCUUGCAGAGGCAACUUCAAGUUGAUAGAGAUGUAAUAACCAUGUAAGUCUCUUGUGCUCCAACAUAUUACAUAUGUAUAUGCUACCUUAUUUUGUUAUCUCUAAGAGCUAAUUAGUAGACAAUUGUAUGCUGCAAU